GGCUCCGCCCCACUCCGCCCCUUGCUCCCCUGGAAGGGAAGGCUUAGGGGCGGGGGCGGGGGCGUGGUCAAGCCGUAUAAGAACGGAGGGGGCGGCGGCAGGUCCGCUCACUCGGUGCCGCUGCUUGGGGGCUGUAGUGACCGUGCCGCUCCUGCUGGGGGCUGCCCACGCCAAGGACCUGCCUCUGUCGUCCCUCUUCCGCCGCCCAGUUUCC
rnacentral:lncRNA from 1 species